UAAUUGAAGAGUUUGAUCAUGGCUCAGAUUGAACGCUGGCGGCAGGCCUAACACAUGCAAGUCGAGCGGUAACAGGGGAAGCUUGCUUCUCGCUGACGAGCGGCGGACGGGUGAGUAAUGUAUGGGGAUCUGCCCGAUAGAGGGGGAUAACCACUGGAAACGGUGGCUAAUACCGCAUAAUCUCUUAGGAGCAAAGCAGGGGAACUUCGGUCCUUGUGCUAUCGGAUGAACCCAUAUGGGAUUAGCUAGUAGGUGGGGUAAUGGCUCACCUAGGCGACGAUCCCUAGCUGGUCUGAGAGGAUGAUCAGCCACACUGGGACUGAGACACGGCCCAGACUCCUACGGGAGGCAGCAGUGGGGAAUAUUGCACAAUGGGCGCAAGCCUGAUGCAGCCAUGCCGCGUGUAUGAAGAAGGCC
rnacentral:rRNA from 1 species